AACGAACGCUGGCGGCAGGCCUAACACAUGCAAGUCGAACGCUCCAGCAAUGGAGAGUGGCAGACGGGUGAGUAACGCGUGGGAACCUUCCCUAUGGUUCGGAAUAGCUCAGGGAAACUUGAGGUAAUACCGGAUAAGCCCUUCGGGGAAAGGAUUUAUCGCCAUUGGAUGGGCCCGCGUAGGAUUAGCUAGUUGGUGAGGUAACGGCUCACCAAGGCGACGAUCCUUAGCUGGCUGAGAGGAUGAUCAGCCACACUGGGACUGAGACACGGCCCAGACUCCUACGGGAGGCAGCAGUGGGGAAUAUUGGACAAUGGGCGGCAAGCCUGAUCCAGCCAUGCCGCGUGAGUGACGAAGGCCUUAGGGUUGUAAAGCUCUUUUGGCGGGGAAGAUAAUGACGGUACCCGCAGAAUAAGCUCCGGCUAACUUCGUGCCAGCCGCCGCGGUAAC
rnacentral:rRNA from 1 species